rnacentral:rRNA from 1 species
CACGUGGGCAACCUGCCUGUAAGACUGGGAUAACUUCGGGAAACCGGAGCUAAUACCGGAUAAUUCUUUCUCCCUCAUGGGAGGAAGCUGAAAGAUGGUUUCGGCUAUCACUUACAGAUGGGCCCGCGGCGCAUUAGCUAGUUGGUGAGGUAAUGGCUCACCAAGGCAACGAUGCGUAGCCGACCUGAGAGGGUGAUCGGCCACACUGGGACUGAGACACGGCCCAGACUCCUACGGGAGGCAGCAGUAGGGAAUCUUCCGCAAUGGACGAAAGUCUGACGGAGCAACGCCGCGUGAGUG